AACGAACGCUGGCGGCAUGCCUAACACAUGCAAGUCGAACGAGGCCUUCGGGUCUAGUGGCGCACGGGUGCGUAACGCGUGGGAACCUGCCCCUAGGUUCGGAAUAACUCCCCGAAAGGGGUGCUAAUACCGGAUAAUGUCUUCGGAUCAAAGAUUUAUCGCCUUUGGAUGGGCCCGCGUUGGAUUAGCUAGUUGGUAGGGUAAAAGCCUACCAAGGCGACGAUCCAUAGCUGGUCUGAGAGGAUGAUCAGCCACACUGGGACUGAGACACGGCCCAGACUCCUACGGGAGGCAGCAGUGGGGAAUAUUGGACAAUGGGCGAAAGCCUGAUCCAGCAAUGCCGCGUGAGUGAUGAAGGCCUUAGGGUUGUAAAGCUCUUUUACCCGGGAUGAUAAUGGCAGUACCGGGAGAAUAAGCUCCGGCUAACUCCGUG
rnacentral:rRNA from 1 species